rnacentral:tRNA from 1 species
ACGACCGUAGCUCAGUUGGUUAGAGCACCACCUUGACAUGGUGGGGGUCGGUGGUUCGAAUCCA